GUAAAGUUGCUUAAGCUUGCUUUCCUAUUUUGUGUGCUUUCUUCCAAUUGUCUCAAAUAUGAUUGUAUCUGCAUGCAAUCAGAGCUUGAUUAAUUAAGCAAGUAGGAGUGGAACAUCUGCAUAUAGAUUAGCACAUAUGCAUGCACAUAGCGUAGGCUAGUACAUGAAUUUGAUACUAUAGAUUGUCACAACUAUAUCUAACAGUGAGAGCUGCCAUCCUCAUGCAUAUACAACCUUCGGAUACCAAUUUAAGUAACCAUAACUGUCGAGUUGCAUUGACUUUACUCUUAGAAUUGAUGAUAUUUUGGGUCAAGCACAUACGAUAUCUACUGAAGAUGAGCUAGCACAGAACUGACAAAGUGAAGUAGACAGACAGACAGACUAACAGACAGACAGACAGACAGACAGACAGACAGACAGACAGACAGACAGACAGACACUUUAUUCUCAUACAGACUUUACUUGUGCAUAUGCUAUCAUUUUUUGAAAGUAAACCAGUCCUUGCAAACAACAAAGUCAUAGAUUAACUAAUGGACUUGGCCUUGAAUGUCAGAAUCAAAUAAUCUAUCUAAACAGACAGACAGACAGACAGACAGACAGACAGACAGGCAGAGAGUGUGAUGCCAGUGUAUAUAGCCUUUCUCAUUAUUUUGGAAUGGGCAACACUACAGUCCAGAAACGCUACUUAAUUUCCCUAUGCACAUAGAACUGCCGAGGAGCAUGGUAGAGCGCAGUAGCUUAGCUAGAAGGUAAGAAAGGCGGUUAUAAAGUUGCUUGCCUUCUAAUUUUGUGUGCUUUCCGGUAGUCUUAACGUAUGAUUGUGUCUGCAAUCAGAGCUUAAUUGAUUGGGUCAAAACAAGUAGGAGUGGAUAAAUCUGCAUAGAUUAGCACGUGCACAUAGUGCAGUGCAUGAAUUUGAUGCUCAAUUGUCACAACGAUAUGUGGAGAGAAGGCGACCAUCCUGACAUACAACGUAUGUUUGAAAUGGAUUUUGAUAACUAACAGCGCAGAAUUUGGUGCCAGACUUACGAAGAAGUAUCCAAAGCUAGCAGAAGGUGGCAGCCUCGAGCUACUCAGGGUCUUGUGUGACCUUAGCUGAUAGAAUCACCUGUUGAUGCGGGUACACUCUGUUGUUCCUGAGCAGAGCGGAUUGGUUCAGCCAGGGUCUUCAUAUGGCCAUUCUCUAGAUCACCGAGCCUUUCACCACCUAGAACUAGAGUGAACCCACAGGAGCACAACCAAAGGAGAUCAAAAUGCUGCAAUUAUGAGAUGCUGGUGCCAAUGUCACACUUUCGGGAGCAUCUACAGUUGUGCGGGUAGAUACUUUGCUGUCUAGAUGCAUUUCUACUUUACACUGAUACAAAUAAUAUGCUUGUUUUGAACACAAGGAAUGAUCACAGCAAUGAUGAUAACAUACCUCUGUCACCUCUGCCAAUAUUUCUUGGUGAAAACUGCCACAUGUCAAUUAGGUCAUAUGUGUUAUUAGAUGGACAGUUUUUAACCUGUUGAGUAAGAUAUACUCCACAGAAAUUUGUACUUUAGGUGCCCGUAUGAGGGUAUAAACAUGCGUUCAUGUAUUGACAGAUAUGCAUUCGUUGGUCUGUCGAACUGCAGUUGAGUGAUAUCUUUCUAGCCAUUUUGGUGCAGGUGAUCUUACAAUGAUAUGUUGGUGAGCAUAUCUGAGACAUUUGUUCCCUGAUACAAACAGCAAAUAUACAUGUCAUCCUUUU